rnacentral:rRNA from 1 species
UACGUAGGGUGCGAGCGUUAAUCGGAAUUACUGGGCGUAAAGCGUGCGCAGGCAGUUCGUUGUGUCUGAUGUGAAAGCCCCGGGCUUAACCUGGGAAUGGCAUUGGAAACUGGCGAGCUGGAGUGUGGCAGAGGGGGGUGGAAUUCCGCGUGUAGCAGUGAAAUGCGUAGAGAUGCGGAGGAACACCGAUGGCGAAGGCAGCCCCCUGGGCCAACACUGACGCUCAGGCACGAAAGCGUGGGGAGCAAACAGG